rnacentral:rRNA from 1 species
UGCGUAGGCGGGCUAAUAAGUCAGUGGUGAAAUCUUACAGCUCAACUGUAAAAUUGCCAUUGAUACUGGAUGUCUUGAAUUAGUGUGAAGUGGUUAGAAUGUGUAGUGUAGCGGUGAAAUGCAUAGAUAUUACACAGAAUACCAAUUGCGAAGGCAGAUCACUAACACUAUAUUGACGCUGAGGGACGAAAGCGUGGGGAGCGAACAGGAUUAGAUACCCUGGUAGUCC